rnacentral:rRNA from 1 species
GACGAGGGGUCCUAGCGUUGUUCGGAAUCACUGGGCGUAAAGAGUUCGUAGGCGGCUCUAUAAGUCGGGUGUGAAAGCCCACGGCUCAACCGUGGAAGUGCAUUCGAAACUGUAGAGCUUGAAUAUGGUAGAGGGUAGUAGAAUUCCUGGUGUAGUGGUGAAAUACGUAGAUAUCAGGAGGAAUACCGGUGGCGAAGGCGGCUACCUGGACCAAUAUUGACGCUGAGGAACGAAAGUGCGGGGAUCAAACAGG